AGUUAUGCCAGCACUGUGGUAUUCAGUGCCUCGACCCACACCUCUGCCAGCGACUCCUGGACACUCACAGGCAAGUCUGACUCAGUCUCUUAUGGGGUCAGUGCUCCCUUCUCCUGGCUCCUGGUGUGCACAGUUUUGUUUGUGUCCUCCAAGAAUCUGUUUCUCCAGACAGGUGGAAGUGCUGUAAUCAAAUGCCACUGGCCUCCAAAGCCAAAUCCCUGGGGGAUCUCAGCCUCUUUGCCAGAUGCCCAAGUUGGGAAAUCUGUUGUACAUCCUAGAACUUUCAUAACAGUGAUCUAACACAAUGUUUGGACUUGUGCUUAUCAACAAAGCUCUGAUUGACAUAAGAAACAGUUUGGUACUAUUUUCCAUAUCUUCCCUAAAGACCACUCUUAAAAAGACAUUUUGAAAAUAGCCAUUUUGGUAAGUACUAC